UAUAAAGUACAGCUCAGCAUGUCAUUUAUAUCUGAAGCGCGGGCGAGUUAAGUUCAUAACAUUUUUUUUCUUUGCAAAUAAUUUUGCUAAGACGUCAAAGACCAAGAUUGCAAUUGUGGUACAGUUUGAAUGUGUUCUUUUGGUACGCUAAUAGAAACCAAAAACCUUCAUAGCAACUCCACCCACUAACCUAAUUGUGAUUCGGGGUGAGCCUUAAAGAAAAGGUAUUUAUAUGUGCUAGUGUUGAGACUUGGAACUAAUUAAGGCUUCCACAGUUUCCGUGCCUGCUCAGUUGACUAGAGCCGUUCCAUUCGUCAGUAGCUUGCUAACAAAGAGCAGCGGUAAUAUUUAGACGUACUAGUCGGCGCUACCAGAGGGGGAGAUCGGACCAGACAAGGGCAACACCAAAAGCACGUGUUGCGCUUAGCAACCCAGUAGGACCAAUUUUGUUGCUAUUUUACUUAUCAGCAGCUGUCUUGCGAAGAACAACAUCUGGCAUAGCCUCGAAGAACGGCGUCAAGCGGGUGAAACGCUUACUACUUAUGCAGCACCAUCGGGGCCGCAUGCACUAAGCAUAUAGCGUAACCUGCAGAGAGUAACGAAUGAGCUGACAACAGCGAUCCUAAUCGUCGUAUACAUUGGGCCUAACGUCUGCUUCGAAGGAUAUCGCCAACAUCUGCACCAGCCAUACAGACAGCAGUAGUAUCCCAACACAGUCCACAUUCGAAACUAAGCUGAACUCCAAAACACCACAGCACUUCCCCCAGCGCUGUAACUCCUGACAAGGUAGUCUUCAGUUAGUUGGCUCCGAUCCAUUAACGAUCGGAAUAGAUUUCAUGCUCUGAGUAGCGAUUCAGAUGAUGAAUCAGUGGAUUAGCGAAGUCCUGGAAAAUAUGUCCACAACCUACGCAGAUUCGCUGUCAAAUCUCCUGGACGAUAUUCAACAUUAUGCAGAACAAUUUGGCUCCCCCCACCGACACGAAACAGGAGGCCGACGAGAGCCCCAACGCUUAUACCUUUAUAGCCUUUAUGCCUUCAAAUCCUGACCGUUGCAGAGCCACUCCUAAUCCAGGAAGCCCAGACCAAAAGCAACCUCAACCUACAACGCCUAACGUUCAUCCAAUAUCUCUCCUAAGCAUUACCAAGAAUUACAGUAGAGGGUACAAUUUGGCUAUAUGCCCAAGAUGCAUGCACAUUAAAAGGUAUUUAAAAACUAUGAAACUUCUAACAUUGAGUUCUACACGUACCAGCUCAAAGAGAAGCGGCCGGAUAAAACAAACUAUAAAUGGUCUACAUGUCUUAACAACGCACGCCAAGAUCAACAACGACCUUAAGGCUCGAGGGCACGAAGCUUCACAUAUUCACUGCCCAGAUAACACAAUAAGAACGGACAAACCAAUUCUAGACUCUGGUGGCAACAAGGCCCAUAUUAAAAACAUAGUCUAUAUUGCAGGCUAGAGAUGCCAUCAAGCAGUGACAGUCUCUUUACGGAAGGCGAAUUGUCCAUUGUUUGACAAUUCAUCACCCCAACACAGCACGUGGUUGCAACGACAACCGAACCACUCCCAGCAGCAGAAUUACCUAAACAUAAUAUACAACAACGUUACCAAUAAAAGUUUCCCACAAAUCGCACUGAAAACUACCCUUCUAUGGACCGUGCUGCAGAAUCGCAUGUUUGCGUUACUCCUUUGCUGGAACGCAGGCGCCGUACCAGCGAAAAUCUACAAGUUAAAACCCAUAACAUGGUAAAUAAUGCACUUUUAAACAAGACAAUUGCCCAUUGUUUGACAAUUCAUCACCCCAACACAGCACGUGGGUGCAACGACAACCGAACCACUCCCAGCAGCAGAAUUACCUAAACCUAAUAUACAACAACGUUACCAAUAAAAGUUCCCCACAAACCGCACUGAAAACUACCCUUCUAUGGACCGUGCUGCAGAAUCGCAUGUUUAGGUGCGUUACUCCUUUGCUGGAACGCGGGCGCCAUACUAGCGAAAAUUCACAAGUUAAAACCCUUAACAUGGUAAAUAAUGCACAUUUAAACAAGACCCCUAUGCGAGACCUAGAGUUUAACUGCAUUUCAGCGUACUCCCCCUUACCCAAUCAAUUACCCCCCCAACCAACGCUGGAGUGACCCGCAAUUUUUAUCUACAGUGGUAUUUCGCGGUAUUUAACGAUCCUUAUAAAUAUAACCAAAUUUCUCUACAUCUCUCUUGUUCUCCUUAUCCUUGAAUACUGAGUCAGCACAGAAGCAUUUUCUGCUUUUUGCCUUACGUGGUUUAAAUUGGAACCGCAAUCUUCGGUUGCCACUUUUCUCCAGCAGACUUCUUCAUCUUGAUCUUCCGUCGUUAACCGUACGACAAUCCAUGUCUUUCUACAUAAAUUGAUUAUUGGCGACAUAGAUUCUUCUUUUUUGUCAGGGCGUCUUCAAUUAUCUGCUCCGUCCAGACAUACCAGGAAUUAUCGCACCAAUCACCAUCUCCUUAUCCUAUCUACUUAAGACCCUAUAUAUUAGUAUAAAUUUCUUUACUUUUCCAAUAACUUUUUUAUACCCUUGCAGAGGGUAUUAUAAUUUUGUCGUGAAAUGUGUAACGCAUAGAAGGAGACAUCUCCGACCCCAUAAAGUAUAUAUAUCCAUGAUCAGUAUCAUCAACCGAGUCGAUAUAGCCAUGUCCGUCUGUCCGGCUGUCCGUCUGUCUGUUUCUAUGCGAACUAGUCUCUCAGUUUUAAAGCUAUCUUUAUGAAACUUUGCAGAAGUUCCUCUUUCCGUUACAUAUGUACUAUGUGUC